UACGAAGGGGGCGAGCGUUGUUCGGAAUCACUGGGCGUAAAGGGCGCGUAGGCGGCCCUCUUAGUCGCGUGUGAAAGCCCCGGGCUCAACCUGGGAACGGCGCGCGAAACGGGAGGGCUGGAGUUCGGGAGAGGAGAGUGGAAUUCCCAGUGUAGAGGUGAAAUUCGUAGAUAUUGGGAAGAACACCGGUGGCGAAGGCGGCUCACUGGCCCGAUACUGACGCUGGGGCACGAAAGCGUGGGGAGCAAACAGG
rnacentral:rRNA from 1 species